rnacentral:lncRNA from 1 species
UGGACUGUGGACACGAAUGAUUGAGUGUACGAUGCAAGGCACAUUCCCAGUGCACAUAAAGCAACAAGUGCCAUAGGGUGGUCCUUCCUUUGGCUGCCUCCACAUCUUGACUUCCAGACCAAGUAGCCUUGCAGCAUAAAAUAACGGCGCAAAGGGGGGCUGUUGGUGUGCAUGAGAGAGGUGGCGGUGGCUUAAGAUUUCUUUCUUGCUGUUGCCCCCA